UGGGGAAUUUUGGACAAUGGGCGAAAGCCUGAUCCAGCCAUGCCGCGUGAGUGAAGAAGGCCUUCGGGUUGUAAAGCUCUUUUAGUCGGAAAGAAAGAGUUGCAAUGAAUAAUUGUGAUUUAUGACGGUACCGACAGAAAAAGCACCGGCUAACUACGUGCCAGCAGCCGCGGUAAUACGUAGGGUGCGAGCGUUAAUCGGAAUUACUGGGCGUAAAGGGUGCGCAGGCGGUCUUGCAAGUCAGAUGUGAAAGCCCCGGGCUUAACCUGGGAAUUGCGUUUGAAACUACAAGGCUAGAGUGCAGCAGAGGGGAGUGGAAUUCCAUGUGUAGCAGUGAAAUGCGUAGAGAUGUGGAAGAACACCGAUGGCGAAGGCAGCUCCCUGGGUUGACACUGACGCUCAUGCACGAAAGCGUGGGGAUCACACA
rnacentral:rRNA from 1 species